rnacentral:snoRNA from 1 species
GAAUGAUGUGAUGAUUUAUUGUUUCCCUAUUGGUUUGAUUGCCGUGAUGAUGGCAUCUUUGUAUUAGCUCUAUCUGAUCAUUC